GCACCGUUCGGAAACUGAUCAGUUCAGUUAUGUUCAGUUAAACUAAAUAUUCAGUUCAGUAGAUAACCGCGGCUUUUAGGCCGGUGCGGCUUAUAUAAGUACAUUUCCAAUCUUUUUUUUAAACUUUGUGGGUGUGGCUUAUAUUGAGGUGCGCUCUAUAGUCAGGAAAAUACGGUAGAUUUGGCGGCAUGAUUCUGCUCUGGGUCCCUUCCCUUCCACGCGCUUCGAGCCAUCAUGAAAGGCGAUAGCAGGGAGCACAUGUGAGGUUCUGUUCGGGGCCCCCGUUCUCCACGUUGGCAGGGGUGAAAGGCCAGCGGCAGGAAGAGCACCUUCCCGCCCUCCACGAGCCAUCAUGAAGGCGGAGGCGGCGGGGGGUAGAGCAGCGAUGAACAGAAACCCCCAAAACAACCAUGCCGUGCAGUCUAGGAGCUAGCAGGGGAGGUGAGAGCUGCUGAAAGAGAGACGGGUUAGAGAGACCCGUUGCCCAAGCAUGGAUAUUUAUCUGCGGGGUGUUUAUUUAUAUAUUUCAUUUAAUUAGCAUCUAUGUGUCAAAGUUAUGGGUACUCAUAGUUUUUCGGCUUCUAGAAUGUCCCGAGCCCCAGGGCACCGAUAGCGUUCGUACUUGGCUGACGACCAUUGGCCCAUGGCUUUGAGGGUGGACACAGGAGCCGUCAUAGCUGCGGUUGUAGCUGCACCUAUGUGAAAGGAAUGAGCCGUGUAGCGAUCUGGAGGAUGUGUGGAGGGCGAUCAGCUGAGUUGUCAUCUGACUGAGGGCUAGCUUAAGAUCAGCUGACUCUAACCUUUAUCUUGACUGUACCUUGUGUCCUGCCUGAACUACGGCCAUACUUUAUUUCAGUCAGGACUACUUUAGUUAGAAUUAAUUAUUUAUUACUAGCAAAAAUUUUUUAACAUUGGCAGCAUGGCUCUGUUCUGAGAGUUCCCUGCUCUUUCAUGAGCUUGCAUAGAAUCCCAAGGCUAUGAGAGGGAAUGCCCUCCCCUCCCUUUCAUGCGCAUAUGUGAAAAGCCAAGGCAGAAAAGCAGCAGUGAUAAAUAAAAUUAAGGUAAAUUAGGAUCCCCCAAAACAACCAUACCAGACAACCUUUUGGCUUUCAUGUGCUACAUUAAAGCCAAGGCAGGGGAAGCAGCGGCAAAAAGUUAGGUCCCCCAGAACAACCAUACCGGCAACCCUCCCCGGCUUUCAUGAGCUACAUGAAGGCACCUAGGGGGGAGGGAGGGCAGCCAGCAGCGAGAAACUAUGAAGCAACCUACCCACCUCCAAAGCUUGCAUAGUAUUGGUUACCCUCACAACAUGAUCAUGGAUCAGGAUUAAUUUAAUCCAUACACAAAUUUAUAAUUGGGAAUAUGCUUAAUACAAUAGAUAUGGGACAGAAUUUAGGAGCAGCAGCAAUUUUUUUUUCUCCGUAGCUAAUUGAGCAUAGGAAUAUUCGAAUAAUGAUAAUAAUAAUAAUAAUAUAUUAGCGUUGGGCCUGAGGUAUCAUUCAAAGGCUGAUCAGGACCAUCGACCCGUAGCCUUGAGCGUCGAGACGGGGACAAUGGAAGAUGCAGUUGUAGCUGCACCUAUGCAUGGUGAAUGCGAGUUGUACUCAGGUAGGAGCCGGCAGGAUUGGCAGAGCAGGCAGGGUGAGCAGAAAGCCACAAUCUGGAUAUAGGUUUCCCUUUUUCAGUGGCAAGGAGAGACUCUUGCUGGCUGGCCAAUGGCCGGCCUCUCAGGCAGCUGGACAUGGAGGAUAAAGAACAAAGACAGAGUUAGUUUUGGAAAUAUAUAUAUAUAUAUAAAAAAAGUGCGAGAUUCAAAACAGUGGACUAUUAAAGCACAUACAAUGGAUAUAUUUAGAGCGUUGGGGCUACAGAGAAGGUGGUACAAAAGAGGUAAAGUGAGACCAUGCAGAAUCGUAUAAACUUUAAUGCUGAUUUUGCUUAACCAGCUCUCAAGUAGCUGGCAACAGAGAGCACUUAGGUUUGCAAGGCUGCACUCAGACUAACGCAGUCUGAAUGAAUGGCUUCACGAACAGCCAUUGGGAUGCUUUGCCAGUGCCUUCCCCAGCUCAGGGACAUUUGACAGAGUAGACAGCUUUGUUCUCUCCCGUUUUACCAGGUGGGUGCGUCUUGGGCACGCUGAUUUCAGAUGCCCAUCCCUGGAGUAACUUGGCUUCUCCGAGUAGUAGGCUUAGAGAGGCUUGGGUGGUUGGCCUGUAGCCACAGUUUUAGGGCACCGAUUAGAGGUGUGGGCAGGAGUGGACAAGGUAGGAUAAGGUUCCUCCAGGUUCUGUACCUGUAGACUUUGUACAAGAGGAGCACACCAAAGUUAAGCGAGUUGCUGACUCCGAUGCCACAGUAUCAUCAUCUGCUGUAUCUCUCUCUCUCUCUCUUGAACAUAAAAUCAAUCAUUAUUUAUUUUUAUUUUUUCUCUGCAUUUUGUCUUAUUUCUGCAUUAAGAUUGAAGCAGCUGACUCUUUAAAAGUUCCCUCCUUCCGCAAAAGGCGGAAGGCGGGCCCCUGCACCUAGGCAACCUGCGUCCAAACAAAAGUGCGCACUGGUGCUCCCACUUGGAGUUUAUUUGUAAGCAAAUACCACUCACUCUCAAGCGGCAUGGUCCUAUUGGAUCACUUCUGUUAUAACGCAGAGUGCAGACUGAUGUGCAGCAACACACUAAGCCUAGAUACGUGGAAGGGGUGAAAACUUUAAACUGCUGAUUAUGUCUUCCCGAAAUGGCGUACUCCUGCGUAAUGGCUUACUUUCACCUCCGGGUGAGAGAAAGACCCGCAGAUUGAGCAGGAAAAAGCUUGAUGCUCGGUGAAAUGUCUACUAAUUAGAGCCAGGUCGACUACGGACUGAUCAAGUCUUUGGUUGAAUCUUUGAAUGUACUUAGCAGCUUUGCUGAAAAUGAUUUGUAAUGUUCCUAGAAUAAUGAUCCUCCCUAGGUCAUGGCUGAAUCAGAAAUAAUGGCGAGAUAUGUGUCCAGUUCAGUUCUGCGUGCUGAAAACGCUUCACAUAUGACAUCUCCAAAUACGCCGAAAGCUAUGAAUUCAGCCAAGGUCAGAGAUUUAAACAGCCGGGCAUCACGAUAUUUAAGCAUCACAGACUCAUCUCCGCAAUCAACAAUGCAUCUAUCAUUGUAGUUUGAGCACAGCAAGACUAAUGUCAGUACCUGCAAGGAUUUGGCUCCGCGGAUUAGGUGUAAAUGCAGCCGCGGGAGGGAAGAAUUGGACGCCAGUGGAGACGGGGACUGCACUUCCCAGGGUCUUUUGCGGGAUGGUGACCAUCGUCGGUUGUCGCUGGAGUGACGUCAUCGUCCAUCGAAUGCAGGUAACAGCUGGGAUGAAGGGAGACAGCUUAGCACGUGCCGAACCGGAUUCUGAGGCUUCGAAUCCUUGAAGACAUGUGGGAGAACGAUGGCUGGAUGCUGGAUAGUGCUCUCAGGAUGGGAUUGUCGUCCAGGUUCGCGGAUCUGAUAGCUGGGGUUGUGCUUAGCGCUCUGCAGGCGACGGCGAUGACGCGGCGGCUGAAGCUGGAACUGCCGUGACGCUGCGGGAACAGUGUUUUCUUUUCUCGGUCGCUUUUCUGGAUACAGAGGAGGAACAGAGAACUGCAAGUGGAGGAUCUAUGUGCAUAUUUUCCAUAAACAAGGUGAAAACUCUUGAUGUGAGGCACCAUCUGGAGCUGUAAUGUUAUUUUUAAAGGACUUCCAGGAGCCCGGACUCCGGCCGUUCAUUGAAGCUGGGAGAAAUAGAAGUUUUCAGGGCUCUCAAGUUUUGAACUAAGCUUAGAGUGAGAUUUCCUUGGGGGGGGGUGAUUGAAGAUAAUUAUUAGUAUAAUAAUCUCUUAAAUACAACGGAGUAUGAGGGCCACAUUAAAAAAAGAACGUUUUUAAAUGUUUGAGAAUAAAGUUAUCAUUUAGGAGAAUAAAGUCAUUAAUUUAUAAGAAUAAAGUCGUAAAGUUACCUGUUGUGGAGGAGAGUUGUUAAAAUCAGCACUGUGGAGCAUUUAGAUGAAUUGUUCUUUAGUAUAGGUUUCACAAACAUGGAGAUACUCAGUCCUUUGGUACAUGCACGUUACACUGUCAUGAGUAUCAGAACUUUAAAAAGAAUAUAUGAGAAAUGCUCCUUUGUGGAGGGGGAAAUGGCUGUACAGAUGCUAAAUCCGUCAAUACAGCUGUUAAUAGCAAUAGCAUAGGGCUUAAGUUUAUCAUUUGUGUUUAUAUGCCAUGAGGUGUUGAGGUCUCUGCAUGUGUAGGUUACUGACUUACUGUAAUCAUCGGGUCUAUCUUGUCCUUAUAAAAACCUGCUCUAUUUCGGCGAGUGUCUGUCAAAAUCAAAUCAAAAUCUACCCGGAUACAGCAAUGCUGCUUUUUGAUUGGCUGUUCAAUAGAUAUACUUUCCUUGAUUGGCUUGUGCGUGGCACGCAGCUUCUGAACUCUCGGAGGAACUCACUUGAUUCCUACCUGUUCUAUAGUUAAAGAGGUGCAACUUGGGGGACGUCACCAUAUUCAUUUAAAUGCGUGAGAAAUACAAUGUGUGGCGUGUGAAUGGGUGGGAAUGCGUGUGUCACACGCUGAAUGCGUGAGACUUGAGAGCCCUGAGUUUUACUUGCCAGAGGAGAGCUCCUACUGAAGGGAAUGCAGCUGUCGUUGCAAGGACUGUCUUCCUCGAUUUCGCAGUGCUGAUGUUGCAUUUCAGAAAAGCCUCAUCCAUGCCAUGGAUCUUCGUCGUGGGCAGCGAUCGACAUGAUGAAGAGCAAGGUAGGAAAAAGCAAAAAAGCAGUUCUGAGUGUUCUUGAAAGUGGGAGCGUGCAGAGCGGUUGCGGCAGCUUGCUGGUUUGCUGUCAGAGCAGAGGAAGAGGCUGGGUUAGUGCAGUUUUAAAUAAGGCGCUCUAUAGGCAAAGGACCAAUAGGAGCUAGGAGUGAAUCAGCUGAUUAUCAUCUGGUUGAGGUGGCUACUAGCCAUUGGCUGUGGAUCAGCGCUUGACGUCAUGUCCUGACAGAACUAACGCUAUGCUUCAUUUCAGGCCUAUCUCUAAACUGCCCUCUCCUUCAAAAAUCAUUGAAAGGUAGUUUACAGUCAAUUAAUGGCCUUUCUGAAACAGCAUAACAUCCUAGAGAUUUUCCAACCCAGUUUUAAAUCGCUGCACAGCACCGAAUCAGCACUUUUAAAAGUUUUUAAUGGUAUCUUUUUAGCCACAGACUCUGGUGAUUCUGUGAUUCUUGUGCUUUUAGUUUUAAGUGCUGCCUUCCACACAGUGGUCCAUGAGAUCCUAAUUUCUGGCUUGGACAAGUGGGUGGGCAUUAGGGGCAUAGCAUUGGAGUGGUUCAGGUCGUACUUGGCCGACAGAAUUUUUUGUGUUAGCCUUGGCGACUCUGUGUCCUCCUCUGCUCCCCUCUCGUGUGGGGUCCCACAGGGCUCCGUG